rnacentral:pre_miRNA from 1 species
GUCCAUGGUAGGAAACCUAAAACAAAGCCCAGGGUUAUGUUGCAAAAAUCCAGGUGAUGUAAGUAAAAGUCCAAGUGAAGAAACUUACCUCACCUGGAUCUUUGCAUCAUAACCCUGGGCUUUAUUUUGGUAAUCUUAUUACGGA